GCAACCAGGAAAUGGCAGAGAGAUUUCUGCAUAGUGCUCCUUUAAUGUUAUCUUUAAUGACCUUUAUAGAGUGUGUGUGUGUGUGUGUGUGUGUGUGUGUGUGUGUGUGUGUGUGUGUGUGUGUGUGUGUGUGUGUGUGUGGUCUGUAAAACAUCAGUAAUUACCUGUACCAUGUUGACCAUAUGUGAGGCCGGCCUUCUUCAGGAUAAUCCUAGUUAAGAGAUUAGUGAGAGAGAAUGAGGGGGUAGAUGGAAGAAAGAGAGAGGGAGAGAGGAAAUGAGAGAGUCAAUGCAGGGACACACCGUACCGUCUCAGGGGUCUACUGUUUGUGUACGAAUCCACUACACGAUAUAGAUCUGGACUGUACUCUCUCUACUAGCUUUUCACUAUGGUCCUUCCCAACUUCGAGGACAGCUGACAUUACAACUCUUUGAAACUUGUUGAGAAGCCACUGUUGUAGGGACUCUGGAAGACUUGGAGAAGCCCAGCCUCUUCAGACCAGACUUGAUGGGAACAAACUGUUUGGAAAGAGAGGAUGACGGGCUACAUGAACUUCAAGAACGAUUAAUCGCACAGGAGAGAGCGAGAGACAAAGGGAGAGAGGAAGAGAGCGAGAGACAAAGGGAGAGAGGAAGAGAGCGAGAGACAGAGAGAGGAUGAUAGCGUACGUGGACUGUCUGUCCCCUGAGCUGGUGGGGGGAGGCGGCGUGAGGGUGGGUGCUCGAUGCUGGAAAGGUGGGUACAGCGAGGAUGAGGAUGAGUUGCUUCCUCUCUGCUCGAAAGAUGUCCGAAAGAUGCCCUCCCUGCAGCCCAAGAACGAGGGCAGUUUGAGACGUCGUCUGCUCACCUCCAAGAUCCACCAGCAACGAGACGGAUUGUGGGCUCCCAGGCCUCUUGCCCAGGGUCUCCCAGACAACCAAGGCCUCCAGGGGACGCUACACAGACAGGACUACCCUGGCCCCCAGCCCCAGGCCAAACCCAGCCCCUCUGGCCUUAUGAUCCACCACCUAGCAGGCUACUCGUCACAAGGCUCCCAGCAACAUAGGCACAACGCAGGCUACUCCCUGACCCAGCUACAGAGGACCAGCUAUUCUCCCCCAACCCCCGAUCCCCAUCCUGGGUGCAGCUUCCCCCUACCACCUCCUUCUCCUCCAGGAGCAGCCAGCUGCAGCCGCACUUCAACCCCAGGCUACCCCAACUCUAACCCAGGAUACUGUAACCCAGGAUACUGUAACCCAGGAUACUGUAACCCAGGAUACUGUAACACAGCCUACACCACAAGGCCCAGCAGCAGCUCUAACCCAGGACACCACAACACUGCACAAGGACCCAGCAACCCUUCCCCAGGACAGGGUUACGACUCUACCUCCUCCACACCAGGACCCAGCUACAGCUCUACCUUAGGGUUAGCUCCCCAGCCCCAGCCCCAGCCCCAGCCCCAGCCCAGCCUCCACUCUAACCUGCCCCAGCAGAGAAAGAGCUUCUCUCCCUUCAACCUGCUCAGACGGCGCAGCUACAACUCCAGCCAGAUCCCCUUCUCACAUACCCCCCAAAGCCAAGACUGGAGAGCUGUCAGUCUGGACGAGGACAGGAAGUGGUCAGUACACUACACUUCCCAGAAUCCUCAGCAGGAGACACGGCCGUCCUGUGGGGACGACCUCUGCACUGUUCUCAGAGAGUGUGACAAGAAGCUAAGGAGUGAUGGGUACGGCAGUUCACAGUACUUCUCUCAAAACCCUGCCCACCUCAGUCCUAGCCUAUCAGAGGACAGGCUGCUUGAUGACAAGCCCAGGAAGGACAGAAGACGGACACAGGUACACACCCAUCACCGGGGAGGGAUAACACACACACACACACACACACACACACACACACACACACACACACACACACACACACACACACACUACUUUCUCUCAGUGGUGAAGAGUUCAGAAGAUAAACACAUGAUUGCAACAUGAUUGCAACACAACCUCAUCACAACUUAACCCUUUCUGCUGAAAAAGAUUAAGUCCAUUGUUGUAUGGGACAGUUUGACAGUUUAACAAUUUCACAGUUUGGCAGUUUGACUGUUUAAAACACGACUCAAGACAGUCAAAGAAUCAAGUAAAACAGCCCAAACUUUAUUUUGUCUUGUCAGAAAUUUUCAGAAAGUAAUACAUUUGAUUUAAAAACUCUAUAUUUAAGAACUACAUUUACAUUUUAGUCAUUUAGCAGACACUCUUAUCCAGAGCAACUUACAGUAGUGAAUGGAUCCAUUUCAUUUCAUGCAUUUUUUUUCGUACUGGCCCCCCGUGGGAAUCAAACCCACAACCCUGGCAUUGCAAACACCAAGCUGGUGUUGCAAACACCAUGCUCUACCAACUGAGCCACAGGGAAGAACUAUUUGUUAAACACAUUUCCUUUUCUCACAAACAAACAUUUUUCUGUCUCCCCAAGUAGGCAUGUCCUUUGUAUUUCCCAGCAACAGUAACACUUGACCCUAUUGGUUAAAAUGACCCCUUCAAUCUUUCCACAUGUUGAACAUAAUGUAUGCGUGUGCUUUCUGCAAAUGUACACUGCUCCAAAAAAUAAAGGGAACACUAAAAUAACACAUCCUAGAUCUGAAUGAAUGAAGUAAUCUUAUUAAAUACUUUUUUCUUUACAUAGUUGAAUGUGCUGACAACAAAAUCACACAAAAAUAAUCAAUGGAAAUCCAAUUUAUCAACCCAUGGAGGUCUGGAUUUGGAGUCACACUCAAAAUUAAAGUGGAAAACCACACUACAGGCUGAUCCAACUUUGAUGUAAUGUCCUUAAAACAAGUCCAAAUGAGGCUCAGUAGUGUGUGUGGCCUCCACGUGCCUGUAUGACCUCCAUACAAUGCCUGGGCAUGCUCCUGAUGAGGUGGCGGAUGGUCUCCUGAGGGAUCUCCUCCCACACCUGGACUAAAGCAUCCGCCAACUCCUGGACAGUCUGUGGUGCAACGUGGCGUUGGUGGAUGGAGCGAGACAUGAUGUCCCAGAUGUGCUCAAUUGGAUUCAGGUCUGGGGAACGGGCGGGCCAGUCCAUAGCAUCAAUGCCUUCCUCUUGCAGGAACUGCUGACACACUCCAGCCACAUGAGGUCUAGCAUUGUCUUGCAUUAGGAGGAACCCAGGGCCAACCGCACCAGCAUAUGGUCUCACAAGGGGUCUGAGGAUCUCAUCUCGGUACCUAAUGGCACCGAGAGGCUACCUCUGGCGAGCACAUGGAGGGCUGUGCUGCCCCCCACUUGACCCUAUUAGUUAAAAUGACCCCUUCAGUCUUUCUCUCCACAUGUUGAACAUUAUGUAUGCGUGUGCUUUCUGCAAAUGUAUUUAUUGCAUUCUACACAAGCGGUGCUGGUUUUACUGUAUUGUCGGGGGGAGAGAAAUAUAUCUAUACACAUGAAAGCCUCUGGGUCAAAAUGACAACACAACAUCAUGUUUGUAUACAAAAUCUACACAGACAUUCCACAACACAUCAGUGUGUCCACAUUUUCAAUUUAGGUUCAUGACCCUUACUGAGAAUAAGAAGUGUACUAGUAUUUUGAUUUGUCCUUGUUUUGGGGCUUAAGAAUAAGAUUUUGUUCUUAAAUGACUUUCCUAGUUGAAUAAAGGUUAAAUAAAUAAAAAGAAAUGCAAUUCUUUUCAAUUUGACUGAAGUCAAACGAGAGUUUGUCUUGGGGGAAGGGUUUCAUUUGGGUGUCUCGUUGUGUGUGUUCUCACGUGGCAAACGUUUUUACAUUCACUCUGCCUUAAACCUGUUACGGCUAGACGUUCCGCUAGCGGAAAUUGCAGAGCACGAAAUACAAAUUAAAUUAUUAGAAAUAUUUAACAUUCUUGAAAAUACACAUGCAAUAUGUCAAAAUAAAGCUUCACUUCUUGUUAAUCCAGCCACUGUGUCAGAUUUCAAAAAGGCUUUAUGGCGAAAGCAAACCAUGCGAUUAUCUGAGGACAGCACCCCACCAUACAAACACAUGAAAAUCAUAUUUCAACCAAGCAGGUGCAACACGAAAGUCAGAAAUAACAAUAUAAUUCAUGCCUUACCUUUGAAGAUCUUCUUCUGUUGGCACUCCAAUAUGUCCCAGAAACAAUCACAAAUGAUCCUUUUGUUCGAUAAACUCCUUUUUUAUAUCCCCAAAAUGUCAAUUUAUUUGGCGUGUUUGAUUCAGAAAAAUUACGGUUCCAACUCGCCCAACAUGACGAAAAAUGAUCUAAUAAGUUACCAGUAAACUUUGUCCAAACAUUUCAAACAACUUUCCUAAUCCAUCCUUAGGUAUCCUAAAACGUAAAUAAUCGAUAAAAUUUAACACGAAAUAUACUGUAGCGGAUAAAAUGAAAGUGGAGCGAGUUCCAGG
rnacentral:lncRNA from 8 species